GACGAACGCUGGCGGCGUGCCUAAUACAUGCAAGUUGAGCGCUGAAGGUUGGUACUUGUACCGACUGGAUGAGCAGCGAACGGGUGAGUAACGCGUGGGGAAUCUGCCUUUGAGCGGGGGACAACAUUUGGAAACGAAUGCUAAUACCGCAUAAAAACUUGAAACACAAGUUUUAAGAUUGAAAGAUGCAAUUGCAUCACUCAAAGAUGAUCCCGCGUUGUAUUAGCUAGUUGGUGAGGUAAAGGCUCACCAAGGCGAUGAUACAUAGCCGACCUGAGAGGGUGGUCGGCCACAAUGGGACUGGGACACGGCCCAAACUCCUACGGGGGGCAGCAGUAGGGAAUCUUCGGCAAUGGACGAAAGUCUGACCGGGCAACGCCGCGUGAGUGAAGAAGGUUUUCGGAUCGUAAAACUCUGUUGGUAGAGAAGAACGUUGGUGAGAGUGGAAAGCUCAUCAAGUGACGGUAACUACCCAGAAAGGGACGGCUAACUACGUG
rnacentral:rRNA from 1 species